rnacentral:lncRNA from 1 species
ACAUUUUUCAAAUAUUGAUUCGAUCACUAAAACUAGGAUACUACAAUCUACUAAUAGAUCGAAUAAUUGUCAGCCAAGAAAUAAAUCUGUAAUACCUAAAUUUUACCCGGCCCAAAAUAAUAAAAAGUCCAUUAUUUUACAUGUCCGGAACAAAAAAAAGAGAGAGCCCAGAAUACAUGGCCCAAUUUAAAACAAUGGGGGCCCAAAUUUCAAUGGCCCAAAACGAAUGAAACCCUAGGGUUUCUGAUCUUCAACAGCGCCGCAACCAAG